UACGAAGGGGGCUAGCGUUGCUCGGAAUCACUGGGCGUAAAGCGCACGUAGGCGGAUCAUUAAGUCGGGGGUGAAAUCCUGGAGCUCAACUCCAGAACUGCCUUCGAUACUGAAGAUCUCGAGUCCGGGAGAGGUGAGUGGAACUCCGAGUGUAGAGGUGAAAUGCGCAGAUAUCGGGAAGAACACCCGUGGCUAAGGCGGCUCUCUAGUACGGUACUGACGCUGAGACGCGAAAGCGUGGGGAGCGAACAGG
rnacentral:rRNA from 1 species